ACGAACGCUGGCGGCAUGCCUAACACAUGCAAGUCGAACGAAGGCUUCGGCCUUAGUGGCGCACGGGUGCGUAACGCGUGGGAACCUGCCCCUCGGUUCGGAAUAACACAGAGAAAUUUGUGCUAAUACCGGAUGAUGACUUCGGUCCAAAGAUUUAUCGCCGAGGGAUGGGCCCGCGUAGGAUUAGCUUGUUGGUGGGGUAAUGGCCUACCAAGGCGACGAUCCUUAGCUGGUCUGAGAGGAUGAUCAGCCACACUGGGACUGAGACACGGCCCAGACUCCUACGGGAGGCAGCAGUGGGGAAUAUUGGACAAUGGGCGAAAGCCUGAUCCAGCAAUGCCGCGUGAGUGAUGAAGGCCUUAGGGUUGUAAAGCUCUUUUACCAGGGAUGAUAAUGACAGUACCUGGAGAAUAAGCUCCGGCUAACUCCGU
rnacentral:rRNA from 1 species